CAUCUGUCCCCAUACUCACGGUGCCAGGCAGUGGGGUGACAGCACAGGGGACGCGCCGGCUGCUGUGCCCUCCCUGCUUUUAUGGCCUCCGGGGGGGCCCCGACUCCUCCCUCCCUCGGCCGUGACCGACCCACAGCACCGAGGACCACACAGCCCCCACCCCCGGCUCUGCAGCGCUCCCGGUGUCAGUGCCCCGCCGGUGUGUCCCAGAGCCCCCACUGCGGUGCACCGAAGGGGGAAUGGGGAGGGGUGUGGGGGGACGUGGGUGUCACACGCAGAUGUGGCACAGGGCACGCAGCUGGCGAUGGGACACUGGGAUAGGGCACGGGGACACUGCGGCCGUGGUGCAGGGAGGGGAUGGAGAUGUGGCACAGGGACAUGGCACACACAUGGCACACACACAGCACAGGGACAUGGCACACACACGGCACAGGGACAUGGCACACACAUGGCACACACAUGGCACAAACACGGCACAAACAUGGCACAAACAUGGCACACACACGGUACAGGGACCUGGCACACAUAUGGCACGGGGACACAGCACAAACAUGGCACACACACAGCACACACAUAGGACACACAUGGCACACACACAGCACACACACGGUACAGGGACCUGGCACAAACAUGGCACACACACGGCACACACACAGCACAGGAACACGGCACACACAUGGUUCACACAUGGCACACACAUAGGACACACGUGGCACACACACGGCACACGGACACGGCACACACACGGCACAAAGGACAGGGAUACAGCAUGGAGGUGACACAGACACGGCACAGGGACACAUGAGCGUGGCACAAACACAGCACAGGGACGUGGCACAGACAUGGCACGGGGACACAGUGUGAACAUGGCACAGACAUGGCACGGGGACACAGCACAGAGAUGGCACAGGGACGUGGCGUGAAUGUGGCACAGGGACACAGCACAGGGACAAACAUGGCGUGGGGACACAGCACAGACACAGCACGGGGACACAGCAUGGAUGUAGCACAUACACAGCACAGGGACAUGGCACAAGGACGUGACACAGACAUGGCACAGAUGUGGCACUGGGACAUGGCACAGGGACAGCACAGGCACAGCACCAGCAUGGCCCAAGGACACAGCACGGGGACAUGGCACGGAGCUGUGGCACAGACAUGACACAAACGUGGCGCAUGAACGUGGCACAGACACAGGACAGGGACAUGGCACAGAUGUGGCACAGGGACAGGGCACAGCCAUGACACGGGCACAGCAUGGAUGUGGCACGAGCAUUGCACAGACAUGGCACAAACACAGCACAGGGACAUGGCACACAGAUGGCACAGAGGCACAGCAUGGAUGUGGCACAUAGACAUGGCACAGACAUGGCACAGGGACACGGCACAGGGAUGGCACAGGGACACAGCAUGGAUGGGGCACGCAGACAUGACACAAACAGGGCACAGACACGGCACAGACAUGGCACAGAGAUGGCACAGAGGCACAGCAUGGAUGUGGCACA
ensembl:lncRNA